rnacentral:rRNA from 1 species
AAGUGCAGCAAUGCAUUGAGCUAACUGAUACUAAUGAUCCGUGCGGCUUGACCAUAUAACCUCA